rnacentral:rRNA from 1 species
CGGGGAAUAUUGCACAAUGGGCGAAAGCCUGAUGCAGCAACGCCGCGUGAGUGAUGACGGUCUUCGGAUUGUAAAGCUCUGUCUUUGGGGACGAUAAUGACGGUACCCAAGGAGGAAGCCACGGCUAACUACGUGCCAGCAGCCGCGGUAAUACGUAGGUGGCAAGCGUUGUCCGGAUUUACUGGGCGUAAAGGGUGCGUAGGCGGACCUUUAAGUGAGAUGUGAAAUCCCCGAGCUUAACUUGGGGGCUGCAUUUCAAACUGGAGGUCUAGAGUGCAGGAGAGGAGAGUGGAAUUCCUAGUGUAGCGGUGGAAUGCGUAGAGAUUAGGAAGAACACCAGUGGCGAAGGCGACUCUCUGGACUGUAACUGACGCUGAGGCACGAAAGCGUGGGGAGCAGACAG